GCAAGCGUUGUCCGGAAUUAUUGGGCGUAAAGAGCUCGUAGGCGGUCUGUUGCGUCUGCUGUGAAAACCCGGGGCUUAACCCCUGGCUUGCAGUGGAUACGGACAGACUAGAGGUAGGUAGGGGAGAAUGGAAUUCCCGGUGUAGCGGUGAAAUGCGCAGAUAUCAGGAGGAACACCGGUGGCGAAGGCGGCUUCCUGGACCGACACUGACGUGAGGAGCGAAAGCGUGGGGGAGCGAACAGG
rnacentral:rRNA from 1 species